UUUCACUCUUCUCCACAGCUGGCUGACAGACCAACAACAGCACAAGUCAGAGAUGCCCACAGGCUGAUUGUACCACAUAUACAACCCGGUCUGACAACAGAUGCUCUCUUCAGCCCGCAGGCUGUCGUGGAUGCCGCCUUCCCAGAAGGCCACUGGCUAGCAGCUCGUUAGUGUGUCAACUAACUGACCACCCACGACUCUGCCUGCAUGCCUUGGCCUGGCCCCAGAGGCUCAUGGGUAAUCUGUCAUCCAGUGUGUGUGCUGCAGCCUGCUGAUAGCAGACCUUCAGUCAGAGAGGAUGGAGCUGUGAUGUUUCUAUCAGCAGACAAGCAAAUGAACGAACUUCCAGCUGAGCCUCUGAAGCCACAUCAGCUGCCUCCCUCCUCUUCCUCCUCACCCCGUCCUCUGUCAGCCCUUUCUUUUGUCUCACUUUAUCCCCCCGUGCCACUCUGUGACUCUUUUCUUCUCUUUCGUAAACGGUUAAAGUCACUCCUAGAAUAUGUUAUGUUCCUUUAUCGUCCCCGUUGACGCUUUCAUCACAGCUGUGAAACAUUUUCUUGUGAAAACAGCAGAGUCCCAUUAAUCAUUUCAGUCGAUUGUCCAGUUCUGGUAUCAGUGUUGGAAUGUUUGAUGAGGUUUGGACUGCUGGAGGAAGUUCGGGUGGAGUCCAGUGGGAGUCGGUCCAGCUGCUGCUGCUGCUGUUCAACAGCCUGAAGCUGUUUACCUGAUCAUUAGUUCGCCUGAUGUUACUACUCAAACACACAGACCUUUUUUUUUUUUUUUUUUACACCUUAGUUUGGAAAGAUUAGAGCAUAUAAAUACAGAAUAUGUAUGAGAGACCCGAGGAGCAAUGAUUUCAAUGGAUGUAAGUCUUUAGAGUAGCUCUGUUAUUCUUACAUAUAUGCUUAUUUCCUUAAAAUCAUGUUAAUCUAAACAUGGACUCCAUCUGAAGUCCACUUGUUGUCAUAUUGAUAUGACUAAUCAGUUUUUGCUGGCUUCGGUUGCGGCACAUAAAAAGGAAACUGUGGAGAGCAAAAAAGGAAAAGUAUUUGCAGAAACGUGUCAUGCAUCACAGUCUAGGCUCAAAUUGUGUUCAAAUAAGGAACGUAAAACGGCAAAUACAUUAUUUUACCAAAGUACACAUUACAUGUACUUUAGUCAAAUCUUUCAGAGAUGUCUGCUGGCUACCAGAAACAUAUUUAAAAAUUCUAUAGGAUGCUCAAAGUGACAACAUAGAGGAAACUUAAUGUCUUGUUUUGACAAAUUGCAGUUAUAUAUUUCUCUUAAAAAAAAAAAAAUUAAAAGGUGAUAGUAGGGCUUACAUUUCUCUGGCACUGUGAUGAAAUCUGAUGACAGUUAUGUGUAUAGCAAAUAAUCUUGUUCAUUUUUUCUAACUGUCACAUAACUAGAAAAUGGCUGCACAUGCAUGUAUGAAGCCAGACCUCCCUCAUGUCUUAGUCUGAUAUAUUUUAGACUAACAUACAGUCAAAGUAUAUUUGAAAAAUUUUAUCUUUAAGAUGCUCUGAGUGAAAUAAACUUUUAUUAUUUAAAAAAAAAAAGCCUGUGUUGUAUAUUAACAACAUUGUUUAAAUAUUAAGAAACAUAAACCUGCAAGCUUUUUAAGUAUGUGCUGUAAUACAUGCAGUUAUGCACACUGUCUUAUUUUUGUGACAGCGAUUUAAUUUAAUGGGUGAACCCUCAAUAAA
ensembl:lncRNA